CUGGUGGAGCAUGUGGUUUAAUUCGAUGCAACGCGAAGAACCUUACCUGGCCUUGACAUACUAGAAACUUUCCAGAGAUGGAUUGGUGCCUUCGGGAAUCUAGAUACAGGUGCUGCAUGGCUGUCGUCAGCUCGUGUCGUGAGAUGUUGGGUUAAGUCCCGCAACGAGCGCAACCCUUUUCCUUACUUGCCAGCAUUUCGGAUGGGAACUUUAAGGAUACUGCCAGUGACAAACUGGAGGAAGGCGGGGACGACGUCAAGUCAUCAUGGCCCUUACGGCCAGGGCUACACACGUGCCUACAAUGGGAAU
rnacentral:rRNA from 1 species